rnacentral:rRNA from 1 species
CUACGGGGGGCUGCAGUGGGGAAUAUUGGACAAUGGGGGAAACCCUGAUCCAGCAAUGCCGCGUGUGUGAAGAAGGCCUGCGGGUUGUAAAGCACUUUCGGUUGGGAGGACUGCUUCUAGCACUAAUAUUGUUGGAAGUUGACGUUACCUUCAGAAGAAGCACCGGCUAACUCCGUGCCAGCAGCCGCGGUAUACGGAGGGUGCAAGCGUUAAUCGGACUUACUGGGCGUAAAGCGCGCGUAGGCGGCUAGAUCAGUCGGGUGUGAAAGCCCCGGGCUUAACCUGGGAACUGCAUCCGAUACUGUCUAGCUUGAGUACAGGAGAGGAGAGUGGAAUUCCACAUGUAGCGGUGAAAUGCGUAGAUAUGUGGAGGAACACCAAUGGCGAAGGCAGCUCUCUGGCCUGAUACUGACGCUGAGGUGCGAAAGCGUGGGGAGCAAACAGGAUUAGAUACCCGGGUAGUC